rnacentral:rRNA from 1 species
CGGAUAGGACCACGGGAUGCAUGUCUUGUGGUGGAAAGCGCUUUAGCGGUGUGGGAUGAGCCCGCGGCCUAUCAGCUUGUUGGUGGGGUGACGGCCUACCAAGGCGACGACGGGUAGCCGGCCUGAGAGGGUGUCCGGCCACACUGGGACUGAGAUACGGCCCAGACUCCUACGGGAGGCAGCAGUGGGGAAUAUUGCACAAUGGGCGCAAGCCUGAUGCAGCGACGCCGCGUGGGGGAUGACGGCCUUCGGGUUGUAAACCUCUUUCACCAUCGACGAAGGUCCGGGUUCUCUCGGAUUGACGGUAGGUGGAGAAGAAGCACCGGCCAACUACGUGCCAGCAGCCGCGGUAAUACGUAGGGUGCGAGCGUUGUCCGGAAUUACUGGGCGUAAAGAGCUCGUAGGUGGUUUGUCGCGUUGUUCGUGAAAUCUCACGGCUUAACUGUGAGCGUGCGGGCGAUACGGGCAGACUAGAGUACUGCAGGGAAAAACCUGGAAA